AGUACUGCACUCUAACCACUGCGCCACCUCGGCUCUUCAGAAUCUGCUGAAUGCCACCCCUGCAAUGGCCAUAUACACAUAUUUUUAAACAGAUGAGUUAGAUGCAUACCAGGCAGUUUGGAUUUUAAAGAUGCUUCAAAAUGCAUCCUGCAGUUAUUCUGUUCAUCUUAAUCCUUACCCAUGUAUUAUUAUUUAUCAAAUUUAUGGCCACACACUUAUUUAGGGGCCUGGGUCAUUGGGAUGGGGAAAAAAGGCAAAUUUUAUCUGACAGCUAAAUUGGACAAGUGAAAAUACAAUCAUGCACCCACCAUUUAUAGCAACCCUUGCUGAACUGGGAUCAGGGUUAGAAAUAUUUUAGAUAAGGAUUCCUAUGGUUCAUACUCCCUAAUAAAACAUUCCUUCCUCCAUAAAAUGCUAGUGAACGAUUCUCAGCCAGAAUAAAUAAUUUUCUUUGCAAUCUGAAUUCAUCAAAGAUGUAAGACAGGUGAAAAGGACCACACCUUUCCAUAAAUGGCAUAGUCUUAGUGCUAAAGAAUUGCUGGCCAUGUCAAUGAAAGACUCCAGACAUGUUAAAGGGAUACAUUUAUCUAAUAUUUUGUAGGGUUCCACCCUGGACAGCAAUACAAACUGAGAUUUAAGCAAAAGGAAUGUUAUCUUGAUAGUUGGAUAGUGCAAAUGCUUCAAAUAUAUAGGAAACAUUUACAUUCCUUAAAGCAAAGGUUGGCAAUAUAACGUCCAACAGACUUCCUAACUUCCUGACAUUAAAAAAUGAAAAAGAAAUACCAAAAGUUCAUGAUUUGCGCAUACUCACAUGAGAAUUUUAAUGUUCAUGAGAUCUCAUACCAGAAUGCUCAAAAUGAAGAGAGCUCAAGAGAAGGUCCUUCCUGAAAUUCCACAAGACUUUGAGAGGCAGCAUACAGGAAAUUGCAUGAUGUAAGUGGAAAAAUUACUGAUUCUGUCUUUAUAAGGCUCCUUAGUAUUGAAAAUAAAAUGCCAACAUUGUUAUGUCUUUAUACAAACCUAAGUUACAUUUACACUUGGAAUAUUGCAUAUGUUGCUGCUUGCCACACUUAUAAAGGGGAUAUAAUCAGCUGAGAAAAGAGCAGAAGAGGGCAACCAGAAUGAACAAAUGCCUUCCCUACAAGAAAAAAGCUAAACUGUUUGGGAUUAUUCAUGUUAAAGAACAGAAAACUGAGGGAGGAUGUUGUUGAGAAGUAUAACAUCCUACAUGGCACGAUGAAAGUAGACAGAAAGAAGGUUUUUUUCUUCUUCUUGGAUAUCAUUAGGACCAAAGACUAUGUAUCCAGUGAAGGAGAUUGGAAGCAUAGCAGCAUCUCAGGGGUUUCUAUGGAAAGCAAAGUGGAUUAAGAUGGAAUUUGGACAGUCCCAGUGGAAAACCUCUGAAAAUCUGAAUUUCAAUCAAGACCAUGGCAACCUAUUCUCGGUACACAUUUAUAUACCAUAUUGGAUCCUAACUAUCCUCAUGGUGAUUCUACCUGCACACAGUAUGAGAGUCAUGCUGUCUUCAGUGGUAUUGAUUCUCAUAUGAUGACAUUUGCACAGGAAAAUCUUCAACUCUCUGGAGUUUCAAAAUCUGGGAAUUCUGAAAGUUUGUUGCAAAGUAACCAUAUCAACAGUAUACCGUUCUCUUUUUACCUAUCAGUUUUUAUUCAUCUCUGAUUACCCACCAUGAAACAUUAGGAGAGGACAAGCCCUAGAGAUAAUUAUUAACAAGGCUUGAUUGUAAGUACCCAUUUUUAGGUUACUCCGAGGCUCUAUCAUGCACUUCCCAUGGGAAGUCAUGUUAAUAUGUGCAGGAAUCAAUUAGAAGAGACAGUGUCCUAUAAUUAGGACACUCAAGGAAACACAUCUAGCAAACAUACCAUUAGAACAGUUAGGAAUUAAGACACAAGCCUCCAAGUUGCUUUUACAACAAAAUUGCCCAACUGUUCAUAAACCCCAAACCCUUUAAUAAUGCAAAGCUUCAGAGGGCCCUACCACAAAUAAGGCAUGUCUCUUGUUUGUUUUGGAGGUGCCUUCAUGGCUUUGGCUGCUUUGGCUGCUAUGGCCAUAAUACUGGUAGUUCACAACUUCUCAAAAACCUUGCGUCCUAAUCCCUUCCAGAAAACCAACUCCAUGCCCUCACAUGCAGACAGAACUGUGGCUGUGCAUGUUGCUAUUGCUCUUUCUUUUCCAAUGGGAAAGAGCAACUGCCUUUUGCCACCCAGUGAAUUCUGGAAAAUGGUUUUGCAAGCUGCUUCUGGUAAGGUCAGUCCAGAGGAAAUGCAGGCUGGGUUUAACUCUCCUGAUGUGAACAGUGUGCAGUAAUUUCCCAAUCCAACACAAUAUUAUGUGCCAUUUCUCAUAAUUAAUUUAAUCAUCCGCAUAUGUCUUAUUAACCUGCUAAAAUGACACUCUGUCUUUUAGAAUUACGACAAUCUUAACCAUUAAGCAG